GUUUUUGUGGUUUUCUGCCGAUGUGGUAUAGUAUUAUGGUAUAAACUCUAUAGAAGAAAAAAAUGAGAGCCACGGAAUGUUACGCACUGCCGGGCCUCCGCGCUCCCCGUCGCCACUUACGCCGCCGCCUCGUGGGCGCACAAGCAGAGCAGCAACAGUGCGCGUGUCGGCUGCGACAUAUGCCUGUCUGACUUUGCCGAUGGCGAGAUCGUCCGGGUGCCACCCUGCUCGACGGUGGCAACGCGACUUUCCAGCGAGAGUGGGCUUGCAGCACUGGCUUGAUGUGGUUCGCUCGUAGUAGAUACGAUUACAUGUCGAUGCAUGGGCGCAGCAAAAGCAAAGCAGACAACUAGCUUACGUAUGCACGUUAAUUCAUCUAAGCUGAUUCCUCUGGGGCCAAAAGCACCAGCCAGUGUUACCUCUCAACUCACUACUCGAGUAGUUUGUGCACGAAAAACUUGACGCGUAGCUAGACACUUGCAGCGACAUGCAACUGACAUGCAUGCAGCUGCCGGACUCGACGCGCACGGCCUCGACACAAAAUAGUGAGCUCGUGCCAUGCUAACUGAAUGGGAAGGAAACGGGAAAAAAAUGAACGGCCUAACUAAUCUAUAAUAUCUAAAUAGUUUAUCUUUACUAUAAUAUUUAUCUUAACAUGCAGCCUAUCCACAUCAACAAUCAACAUGCAAUCAUCCACCUCAGAUCUACGGCACUAAGAUUUGCUAGUUUUACAGUUAGAGGGUCAUUUAUAUACUAUCGAAAAAGUUGAGGGACGAAAAAUAUACUUAUCCGAACCAAAUAUGAAUGUUGGCCCAAAAUAUUACGCCCUUUUACUCCGUGCCAUAGAUCUGAUCGAUGCCAGUGAUCAACCACGUAUCACACAACAACUCUUCCUCCUUCACAUUGAAGCUUUCUUUUCUACUCUUCUUAUUUGAAUCAGUAGGAAAUUCGUCUGGAUCAAGGUCGUCGUCGUCGUGCUCCUGCUGCCGGUGUACGAAUUCGGCUCUAGGGUGUAUGUGCCCAGCUACGUGGCUACGUGUCGGACUGGGUGUACGUGCCUGGCUGCAUGGACUCUGAGUCAUCCACAUACCCGUCCUUGUAGCAGCCCGCGCCUCUGUCAUGGAUCAUCUCAAACAUCUGCACGCUCACGUUGUCGUACGCCGACUCGCCUGGUUGAGACAUAUUGGUGAACAGAUGCGGGCACCGAGCUGCUCCACACCAUACGCCCGCGUCCGGACAUGUUGCGGCGAUGCAGACUCGGAGAAAAUGAGCGGCACCGCGUUGACGUCGAUGCAGUAAGGCACGUGCCCAGCGACAGCGACGGCUCGGGGACUGCCUACUGAGCUACUGGGUAGCGUAGAAGUAUGGAGGCUUGUAUUGCACCGGCUAAGAUGGUGUCUGCAUGGACGGUGAUAGCGAUGGCACCUAGCGUCCCAAGCCUCGCUCUGCACCAUACCCGCCCCCGCACGUCCGCUGCCAUGACUACCACUCCGGCCCACCUUUUGCUACUUGAGUGGCACCGCCUUUGCCUUCGCUUUGAGCUUUGAGGGGCGGUUUUGCCGUGUCGCCGAGUUGAUCUUUCGGACGGCCACGAUCGCUGGAUCCUCCACCGCCGCCUUCUUCGGCAACUUUUCGUAGAGUCCAUGCGGCGGCGGCGAUAAAAAUGGACGGGAACUGGCUGGAGAGUGGCAAGAUGAUAGAGGAGAAAAGGAAAGGGGAAUUUUGCCGUAAAACAAUGCAGCCAUCCCCAAAUGUGUGGGCUCUGCCUCAUUUUUGUAUGUGACAGGGGUGUCACAGUCCUACGUGGUUGGUGUUUGGACUCUCAGAGCUCCCCUAGUUUGCGGGAAAACGAACGUCGGGACUAGUCCGCGAACAUCAUUGGAUGGAUUAUGGGUCCGAACCGCUCGGACAAGUAUUGGAGGUUUGAGGGUUUAUGUUGGAGAUGCCCUUAAGCGAACAUGGAGUUUCUUAGCCCGAGCUCAUAUGAGCUCGGGUUUUCAGGAAAAUGAAAAAAAAAUGUGACAAACCUUAACAAUUUUUGUCAAUGCUUGCAAAUUUUCACCGUGAAAUAACAUUUCUAGAAGCCAUGGCAAAAUAAACAAAAUCAUGCUCCAAAAAAAUUAUUUUCAAAGGCAUCUUGGAGUGAUGAUUUUUCCAAAAAUGUUUUUUUCAAAGGCAUCUUGGAGUGAUGUUUUUUUUUUGCCACCACUUCCAAGAAUGUAGUUUCAUGCUGAAAUUUUGCAAACAUCAAAAACUGUUGUCAAUGUUUGUAACAAAAAAGUCAGAACUUUUUGAAUACUUUUUCAAAUAUCUAUGAGUUUACUGUUCAUCCCGAACUUGUCUCGUCAUUUCGCUGACAAUUUGUUAGUACAACUUGGGACGCCCACUACAAACUUCGUUGUUUGUUCUACUAUCACUUAGGUGAUUUGACCGUAUACAGCCACAGAAUAUAGGUGCUUUAACGGUUUGACCGCGCCUGGAUGGUUGCCUUUCCCACCACGCAGUACACGGAACACCGGUGAAGGUCCAUGCGCACCACCGCUGCCAGUAGACUGGCUGCAAUAUCGGUAAAAGAUUCGCCCUAAUUAUAAAGAAAAUGUUCGGCACAUAACAACUUUAAUGAGCUUCUCAGUGGCAGGAACAGAAAACUCAGCGGCAAACCAAGGGGCAACCGUGCAACCAAAAAUUGCAAAACAGUAAGCCAACGAGGAGUUUUAUGACCAAUAGGAAGUACUACCUCUGUUCCUAAAUAUAAGAUGUUUUAGCAGUUGUGAAAUCGAACUGCCAAAACAUCUUAUAUUUAAGAACAGAUGGUGUAUAUAUCAAAACAACUAAAAAGCGGAUCAUUCAGAGCAACUAAAAAGUGGAUAUAAUACUCAAAGUGAAGAGCCCGAAAGGACCAGCAUCUCUGAGAAAUAAGUUCUGGUGUGCUAAUGCUCAAAUAUCUGAAACUGUUUUAGCAUAUAAAGACCACUCGCAAUCACAAGGAUAGCAUCAACCUUAACAAAUCCUUACUCAAUGUUGGUAACAAAAACAUCAAGGAGGCAACAAACACUGCCAACAAAGGUACUUGAGAAGAACUACAACUAAGACUGUUGGACGAAUGCAUCCAUUCCGGUAGCUUAGAUAGCUUUCCUUGGUGCGACGACGUUAUCAGCCUACCAAAGGAGACAAUAUAUGCAUUAGGAGACACAGCUAGCCAAAACAGCAUAUAAGAACAGACAGCAUUAUAAGAACGUUGGCAAUGUGAUUGAUGUAAGACUGAUUAGAAGGUGAAUCUGAAGAAUCUUGGAAGCUAGAAAUAUUGGACAAAUUUACAAGUUCCAGAUAGGCAAAAACUAAAACAAAUGCAUAAAACGAACAUACCUCCUUCUUCACAGGCUCUUCCUUCUCUGACAAGAUCAGCUCAAUGUGGC
rnacentral:lncRNA from 1 species